rnacentral:rRNA from 1 species
GACGAACGCUGGCGGCGUGCUUAACACAUGCAAGUCGAACGGAGUGGCGAACGGGUGAGUAACACGUGGGUGAUCUGCCUUGCACUUCGGGAUAAGCUUGGGACACUGGGUCUCAUCCCGGCUAGUGCAAGCUGCGCUCGGGGCCUAUCAGCUUGUUGGUGGGGUAAGGGCCUACCAAGGCGUCGACGGGUAGCCGGCCUGCGAGGGUGUACGGCCACAUGAGGACUGAGAUACGGCCCAGACUCCUACGGGAGGCAGCAGGGGGGAAUAUUGCACAAUGGGCGGAAGCCUGAUGCAGCGACGCCGGGUGGGGGAUGAAGGCCGUCGGGUUGGAAACUCCUUUCGACAGGGACGCGGUACCUGUAUAAGAAGCACCGGCUAACUACGUGCCAGCAGCCGCGGUAAUAC